AACACAUCUAGAAUAUUUCAAAAAUUAUUCCCGUGGUAUUUUUCACUUUGAUCAUGCAAUUUGAUCAAACUGUUUAACCUGUUCAUGUCUGCUUCUUCGCCUAGAAAAUGAGGAGCUGUGAUAGUCAACACAAUGGAACCAUGAGAAGUAAGCACAGUAGUUUACAAAGUGCCUAAAAAAUGUCCUAGAACUGUGCCCUUCAAGUGUUUGCACUGUCAUCUGUACAUGCCAUGUGCCUUACAUCUCCCCUCAUUCUCUUAAGCAUCUGCUGUGGUUUUCCCCUCGGGAGCAGCAGGAAGCCAAGGACGAAGGAUACAGGCUCAGCACCAAGUUUUCAGUUAGUACAUUAAUGUCGACUAAAAACCACAUCAUGAGGCCCGGUGUCGGUGUGCUCCUGUAACUCCAGCAAUCAGGAGUCUGCCGUGGGAGAACCGUGAUCUUGAGGGCAGCCAGGACAGCAGGACCUGCCUCAAACAGACUGGGAUCACUUCAGUUAUCGUGAGAACAUACAGUUAAGUAGAACCUUAAGCCAUGUGCAGUAUAGAACCUGUGUGAAUGCCCAAGAAUUAUCCUUGAGUACGCCUAUUGUCUAAUUUCCACAUGUAAGCCAUUAGCAAAGCCGUGUUGCUCUGAUUCAUCUCCACUCUGUCUGCCUCAGUCACCCUAUUCCAGCCACCAUCAGCUUCUUCCUGCACUCCUGUAAUCAUUUCUGUCUUCUGUAGAUCUUCUCCCAGAAACCAAUUUCCUACACUAAUCACAGAGUGGUUUUUUAAUCUGAAGUCGGAUCACAUGACUCCAUUAUUUAGAAUCCCUCAAUGGUCUGUCUCUCCACCUACUUGUAAAAUUUUAUGCUUAUGAUAGGUGAUUUGCCUGUGUGUAAGUGCCCCAGGUGCAUGCAAUGUCCAUGAAAAACAGCAGAGGACAGCAAAUCCCCUGGAACUUGUAAGUCACUGUAAGGCUUCUGAGAACCAGCUGAGAGCCAUCUUUCUAGCCCCUCCUCCCUCCCCCAAGUCAAUGAUUCUCAGAUGCACUUAGAGUUCAGAUGGGGCCUGUGAUGACUUGGGGAGUUAAGUGCUUGCCACACAAGCCUGCUAACCUUUCAAUCCCAGAACCUAUGUAGAGAUGGAAGGAUAGAAUCAACUCCACAGAGCUGUGCUCCACAAGUGAACCAUGGUACGGGUACACACACACAAUAAUUUU
rnacentral:lncRNA from 1 species